GAUUUUGGUUUAUCUCGACUUAAGCACGAGACUUAUCUAACUACGAAGACGGGAAAGGGCACGCCUCAAUGGAUGGCACCUGAAGUUCUUCGCAAUGAGCCCUCAGAUGAGAAGUCGGACAUAUAUAGUUUUGGAGUGAUAUUAUGGGAGCUUGCAACCGAGAAGAUCCCUUGGGAAAAUCUCAAUUCAAUGCAGGUAAUUGGUGCUGUUGGAUUCAUGAACCAACGACUUGAAAUCCCCAAAGACGUGGAUCCUCAAUGGGCUUCUAUAAUUGAAAGCUGCUGGCACAGGUACACACCACACAUGUUUUUUUUUUUCUUUCUUUUUUAUCGUUUCUUUACUUACUCCAUUAUGGUUUCUUCUGGGUUGUCUGAAA